GUGCCAAUUUUUCUGUUCCAGAAAAUAGACUACAUUUGUAAAAGAGGAAACAGUGCCUUGGAAGGAGGAACACUGGAGUUGUCAUGUGGGUUUUCCAGGGGAAGGGACACACGGGCCAUCACGUUCCAGGGGCACGGGAGCUCUGACUGUACUUGAAUUUCUAUAACAUGAGUUUGCCCACAGCAUAACCGUGCUGUGUUUUCCACGUGAGAAAGCAGCGGCUCGCUCACAGCCGGUCUCUGGUGCGCGUGGAGCUGGACCUGAGAGCCUUGGAGUUGUCGCGUUUUUGCAGGGGGAGCUCUGUUUCUGCAACCUGAAACUAGCUUUACCUGAAGUGAAAUGCGUUUCUCGUGUUAAAUGUUUGUUUCCUGACGAUUUCUAAAGGACUGAUUUGGGGAAAUCUGCUCUUUGACAGAUGUCCCACACUCCCUGGUGCGCGGCUCCACGCGGAAGGCCGCUCUGCCUCUCACUCGGGCGUGGACUUCGGCCGCCGCCCAUUCGGAACACACUCUCCUGCCAGAUGUUUGUCUUCCUGCUUUCUCUGGGUGAAGGUUCAGAGGAGUCUUCGCAGCUUCAGCCACGUAAUUACUUUUCCAACAGUUAAGAGCUUUGGCAGCUGGCAUCCGCAAACUGGUGUGAAGACGGGAACCCGCAGUUUAACCGCAGAGCUUCCGAAGCGCCUACCGAGCGGGUUCGGGCCGCCGCCCCCACCAAGGGCACUGCCGGUGCGCCGGGAAGUCGCCCCCGGGGAAUUCUGACAGCCUCCUGGCCGCCGCCCAGGGACUGUGAGUCAUGAAGAAACCCCGUGUGCAAAAGAAACGGCCGGCAGACAAGAAAUGGCUCCUGAGAAGGCCCUCGUCUCCCCCAGGCUGGGCCCCUGACUGUGCCCGAGGUCCUGGAGAGGCCUGGGCCCUCUGCACCCCACCCCCAGCUGCCACAGGGGCUCCGCAAGCCUGCAGUGGGCACAUGUCUCCCCUGAAGAUACAGAAGUGUGUCCCCCAGUAGGCAGGGCGCUGCCAUCCAGCCAGGCCAGGGCACGUCCCCUCCCUGAGGAACCGAGGAACCCAGAUGGACGGGGGUGUGUGAUGUGGAGCGGGGCUCCAGGCAGGUGGGGCCUAUCUUCUCGUUUGGGAUCCCCCCCUUGACCCUGAGCCGAGGCUGGCUAAGGAGAUGGCUCUUGGCACUCUGGGGAGACGGGGAGAGGAGGGGCAGGAACCAUGGCCCGCCUUGCUGAGGAUGUUAUGGGCUUGGAGCGCUGAUGGGGUGACCGGAGGAGAUGGAGCACCAGGGUGUGUCCCUGCCCAGCUCCCAGGGCCAAGCCAGUCUGGAGGAGCCCCUCCCUGCCAAGAGCUGGGCUUGGUGGUCCAGCCCCUCCUCAGAUCCAUAGCUCGGCCACCUCCCCUAACCCAGGGACAGCUUGUUUUAAAGGCAGGUAUAUUGAGAUGAUGUAGUCAAAUGCCCUACCUUUCAUGUUCCAAUUUUGCAAACACGCAGUCCUGUAGCCACCACCACGGUGGCGGCCAGUGUAGGAGGUCCCCGCUGUCCCCACACAGCUCACCGCUCUGUCCUCUGGCUUUGCCUUCUCAGCUGUCACACAGCGGCAGGCUCUGGGCCCCCACCGAUGUGCCUGUGCCAUCGCGUGUAUCGGCAGUGGCUCCCGUCUGUGGCUCAGAAGCUCCUGCUGCAUGAACUGGCCACGGCCUUGGGUCCGUUCUCCCAGGAACACUCAGGUUGGUGCCAGUUUGGGCGAUUGUGAAUAGGACAUGAUGCCCUAGCCAAGCCCCAGCAGGCUCUCCUGGGAGUUCAGCCUGGAUUUCUGUUGGUGAAAAGUUGGGGCUUUGGCUCCCUGUCUUUGUGGCCCCUGCCUCGCUCCUCGUCCACAACCACCAUCCAUUUCCUCUCUGGCUUGUGGCCCGUGUGGUCUGUGCUCCAUCCUCUGGUCCCCAUCCCCACACACUCAGCCUUUCUAAAGAAAGUCUCAUCAUAUCCUCUGCGUCGUCUUCCAAGUCCCCCACACCUCUGAGUCCCUCCUUCCUUCUUCCAGUGACAUUUAUCCUCCUGGGCCCGUCCCAGGGACCCCCACUCCCACCCCUUGCAUAGCCUCCCAGGCUCCAGGCCGAGUGGCCUCUGGACCGGUUCUCCUAGGACAACACUCAUGGCUGCAGCAGGGCCUGGGGGUCUGCGUGUUGGUGCCCCCACUAGACUCUGGGUUCUUGGAAAGCAGGGCACCUUCUGAUUGAAAUCUGACUCCCAGACCAGCAGGCACCUGGUGGUCGCAUCCAAGGGGAACACAGAGAAGUCUAUGCCACAGAAAGGGGCUGGUGUACCGAAGGGGCAGAGGGAAACCCCACAAGCCAGAAUGCCUCAAGGCAGGAGGGAGGACAGAGAGGCAGAAAGGUGUUGGCCUUUCUUAGGUUGGCACCUGGGCCUUGCCCUCUCAGUGCACACUCUUGCUGCUGGCCUCCACGGCCCGUGCACCCCAGAGGCAGCAUGGACCCCUGCCCUCUCUCCUUGGUGCUCUGCCUCCCCUGACCCUGCCUGCCCGGACGGGCUCACUCUGCUGCACCCACCCCCUCUAGCCCCCAGGAUGCCCCCUGAGGGACUCGGUCCUGGAGGCUGUCCAGCCUUCUCCACACUGUUCAGUGGGGAACAGAGUUUCAGUUUGGGAAGACGGGACAGUCCUGGAGACAGAUGGUGUAGAUGGCUGUGCACUUACAAAUGGCCCAAACAGCCACUUGAGGGGCACCUGGUGGCUUAGUUGAGGCGAGAUCAUGACUGACUCAGUUCACUUAGCAAAGUGCUCUCUAGAUCUACCCGCAUCACUGCAGAUGGCAAGACUUCAGUUCAUUUGAUGGCUGAGUAUCAGUCCAUUGUAUAUAUAUACCCCAUCUUCUUUAUCCAUUUAACAAAUAAAUCUUUAAGGGCUGAAGGCAGAGGAGUGGGAGGGGAGAGGAGAGCCCGCAGAGUGGCAGCACCAUGGCACCCACGUGGCCAUCACAUGUCUGCGUGUUGGGUGCCAGCUCUGUGCCUGUCGAAUGAAGGCCAAGGGCUUACGGUGGGUUUUCAUGGCUUUCUCCCCACUGCCCGUGGUCCUGCUAGCACGCUCAGGAGUGUGAGGAGGCCGUGCAUCUCCCCGGGAACGUCCCCCUCACUCGUGAGCGGUGCAGCCUGUCAGAGGCCAGAGGAAAGCCCGCACGGGACCCCAGCAGUCGGAGCCAGAGCAAGCCGGCCGUGCACACGAGGUGGGGUAUGUCCCGCGGUGUUCUUCUGAAUCAGAAAGGUCCACAGAUUCACUAAAGAGCUAAAAGUAUUUUAGACUUUGCAGGCCACAUAUGGUCUCUGUUAUGUAGUGUGUGUUCCUGUUUUUGUUUCUUACUGUGUUUUAAAAAUAUAAAAUGCACCUGCGUCCAGUGAGCUAUACAGUAGGAAGCUGCGGGCAGGCCAUAGUUUGCCCCCUAUUUGUGCUGGUGCCCUGGGGGGGCAGGGUGCAUCUGGGGGACAGCCCUGGAGGAAAGCCUGGCAUGUGCGUGGUGAUGUGUCUCUCGUGGCUGUGUCCGUGGCCUGAUGUAGAGGCCUGGCGGGGCAGGACGCCGUGCCGUCCUGCCCCAUGUGCAUGGCGCUGUUCAUACCUGUACUGCUCCUUCUUGGUUCCCACAGGUGGGUACCAGGGCACAGUCUGUGGUCCUGGGGUCAGAGAGAGAGAGGUGUGGGGCCCUCUGUGGACUCUGUAUUUUGUCCUGUGGGCAGUGGGGAGCCAGCAGUGUGGACCUGGGAACCAUAAUCCACGUCACACAUCCGGUAGGACCCAAUCUUCGUCUCUCCCCCGAGCUGGAGCACAGGAACCACAACUGGGGCUUGUCCAGAUCUCUUUGGUAUUUGUGGAGGGAAGGAAGGAAGGAAGGAAGAAAGGCAGAUGGAACGGAUCGCCCGUGAGCAGAGGGCAACCUAUUGCAGACGGGGGCCAGCCCGCAGUAGUUAUCAGUUGGGCAUGAGGGCGGGGGUCGAGGAUGCCGGCCGGGGCAGUGGUUGCAAAGCACCAGAUGCUUGGAUUUAUUUAUGCUUUUCAUUUUUCAACUUGGAAUUUUCACUUAAUUUGUAUUUGUUUUAAAGUUCUCUCAAAGUAGCACAUACCAGGCUGAAGAGUCAACCUUAGAAAAGAUGGAGAGCAAAAGCCAUGGCCUCUGCUCCACCUCUGCCCUCCCAGGCCUACCUAGGCAUCCCCUUGGAACUUGUUCUAGAGAGUUCUUCCUGUGGUACCUUGCAGUACUAAAUAGUGUGCUCAGUCCUUAAUGUCCCCACACCCCCAGCUGUGGGCGUGGCUGGUGCUGGCUUCCUCUGCCAGCUGAGCGCCCGUCUGGGAGGCUUCACACCACCUCUGGUCCUGCCGGUGUGGGUCUAAGCCACGCGCUGAACAGUAGGGACAAGGGGAUUCCCUGUAAAACAAGGUUUCUCAGAUGUUUGUCUGCCAGACUCAGGAAAAUCGAGGGUGCCCACGCUGAGCCUGGGUGUGGGAUGUCCCCCAGAGGAAAGCGCGGGAGCCAGGUAGCCCAGACGGCCGGGGCACGGGCACGGGCACGUGUUAUUUCUAACUAGUUUCUUCCACUCGCCAUCUUUCUCGGCUUCUUCGUGCUGUGUCUCAGCCGUUCCUCUUCCCACUGCCGGGCCCCCGUGCACGCACACCUACUGCCCACUGGCCUCCUGACUUGAGCUCCGCGCAGCUGGGCCCUGGCUCGGGCGCUCCCCCCGGCCCUGGGCUCAGUUACUGCAUCUCCUCUGGUGAAACGCAGACGCAGGUACUCGCUCACGCCAACCCCCAAGCAGCGCAGGUGGGAAGGGCGGCUUUGCCGGUCCGGCCGGAGACCUGAGGGUGGUGCUGGCAUGGUGGCUGUGUGGCAUGUGUGUCCCCCUCAACGUUCAGAGCCCAGCCUCGAGGGGGGACCGGGGUGACUGUCCCCUCCCCUCUCACGUCCCCAUAUAGCCCACCUGAGGGAAAGUGUGCUGAGCAGGUGGAUUCUGAGAUGCUGGACUGUGACGGUGGCUCCCAGCUUGUCUGUUGUGCUUUAAAACCUGUUUUAUUACUAGUCAGGUGGCAGGUGGCAGGAGGCCAUCAGAUCAGAAGGUAGAUCGCUACCCACAGUCCCUGAGGGGUGGCUUUGCCAUGGGGGGCCACAUGGUGAAACACUGGUGUCAGCCAGCGAGUUACCUUAUUUCCAUGGGAAGGAACAGGCAAGGCAGAGUGCAGUAGGUCUGGGAUUAGUGGGUGAAUGACCUCAGCGGGCUCUGGGCCCAGGGGCUGGUGACCCUGGGUGACCAGAGCGGGCACACUGACUGGGGGUCGAGUGCCGACCAAGGCUACAGUGUGGCUCCGUGUGGGCUGGUGUGCACGUGGAGGCAGCCCCCAGGUGAGUCCUCCACUGUCCCCAGGCAUGGCCCGUCCCUCCAGGCUCUGCCAGACAGAAUGUGGCAAAUGAGAGAUGCGGUUAAUACACUUGGGUCCUCCGUGCCUAGUUGAGGCGCCCUCUCCUCAAGGCUGCAACCCUGGUCUCCGCGGUCACCCUGGGAGACCCGCUUCCUCCCUAUCCCUGCUCCCCUGUGCGUCGUCAUCACCUGGGAGCAUCCCCAGCAACAGGCGGGGCACAGGCUACCCAGGAGAGGGCUAGAGGGCAAUGUCCCCUCCCCGCGGUGACAUCACAGUUGGUGAUGGGCACUUGCCACAGGCUUGCGCCUCUGUUUUAGCUCGUCUCUCUGAAGGAAAGGGGAGGAAAAGGGUUGCAGAGGGACAUGCUGGCUGAAAAUGUGCAAGACAAGUCUGAGGAGGUGCCAGAGACAGCCCCCACCGUGGAGCACAACCAGCUCGCUCCAAUGCGCGAAGAGCGUGGGGAUGCCACCAUCCUGGUGCCCAGUUACAACUUUAUUCUUGCCAAGGUGCCCAAUGGCCAAAUCGCUCAUCAGCCUUACCGCUGAAAUCAGGUGUUUGCUGAGGAGUAUAGCAUCAGAUUCCUUUCCAAAAACAUUCCACACCCGCGCUGACAACCCUUCGCUCCUCACACUGGAGCCCAGGGACGGGACGUGCACGUCAUUCCACCAUGCAGCCCACGGCAGGAUUUAGGGGACCACAGGGAGUGGUACUCAAGCAGUCGGCCUGACAUUCAGAGGAUUUGGCUGCCCCUCGUCAUCCCAGUGACAGAGGGUGGGGGAGGGGGACCAGCGAAGCCGCCAGUCCUCCUGCUGCUUCCCGCUCUGCUUGGAGAGCUGAGCAUGUUGCUCAAACCGGCCGGCACGGAGCCCUUGCUCUAUUCUGUACAACACUCGGAACGUCAUGCGCUUAUGCGCAUGGGUCUGCACACAACCCAGCAAAACUCUAUGUCCUCUGCAUCCCAGAUCCCAGUCAAGGGACCUUCAAAGGUAAUUCGAUGCAUGUAGUCUUCCCCUUAGUAGAGACCUGAGGACGAACCCAUGUCAGUUAAAACUCGGGUGUGACUUGGACUUAACACCAGCCUGCUUCAGUUGUAGCGCAUCUGAGUCCCUCAAUGACCCUGGAGGGCCGGGGUGCUCCUUGUCCCCCCGAUUCCGGGGCACUGCCCUCCAGCUUUCGGCGGCUUUGUUAACUGCAGGGCGUGAACUAAGCUGAUGAUUUCUUUGAAGGAAGUCAGGAUGAUUCCCUGGUCUUCAUAAUUUGGCUCUGGCUUGAAGCUCUGCAGCCAACUCCAGGAGCACAGAUGCGGCCCCAAGACACAGUCUCGUGGUGCCAGGGGCUCCCGGCUCUCCAGUGCAGGUCCUGGGUUUCCACCCUCACUAAGCAGGGUGUCCCUGUGACCCCCCCACUUCAGCCAACCUCCUGGGCUGCCAGGCCACUCCGGCCUCUGCUGUGUUCCUUCAACUGUCCCUCCUCCUCUGAGGACAUCGUGGCAGUUCUGGGCAGGCCGGCCGCACCAGUGAGAGGCCCAAGAGAAGAGUGCGCCGUUCAGCGUUGCUGUUUGGACUCUGCCUCUGAGAGUCAGUUUCAUCUGCCACAAAUUCUCAGUGGUUCUGCAGCGCGGUCAGUGGUUAUCUCCCCUGCCGAGGUGUGAGUGCUCGUCCUGGCCCCCCACUGGUGGAGGGAAAGUGAAGGGUCCUCCUUCCACCCACGUGGUGCUCACCACGAGCCUGCAGCGGGCCUGACGUUGUGGAGGCGUAUGUGUCUAAUGUGCCUAAUGCCACCGACUGACGGGUGUCUCACCAGGCGGGCUACGGAUGCCGCAGCCAGGCCUCCUCGCAAGCCCCAGGAGGCUUGGCAUAGCAGAGGGGAAGGGGCUCUGCUCUUCUUCUAAUCCCAGUGCUGCCCCUUCCUGGUGGCGUGUCUGUGGGCACAUUACCUAGUGUCUUGGAAGCUUCCCAGCUUCCUCACACAAUUACCGUCUAACCUGGUCAUUGUGAGGAUUCCAUGGAGGACCCAGCAUCGUGUGCUCCUGCUGAAUGACCAGUUGAGCAUCCCCGGACUACCAUCACCUCUGUCCUCCACCUUCCAGGGCGUCCUGGGCAGGUGGCCCUUGAUACCUGCUGAAGAAUGCUGCUUGCAGGUGUCACUGGCCAGGGACAUGGCAGGUCCUGAGCACAUAGCACUGGGACGUGGGGAGAAUGAGUCAAUCAGAUGUGCCUCAGUGAUGGAGAACCAAUAUGUAGAUGUGCAGCCUCUUUGGGGACCACAAAUCUCAGCAGUUGACCAAUAUAUAAAAUUAAAAAAAAAAAAAAGUGAUGAAAACCAGUGAUGAAGAAAAAAACCUUAGAAGAGACCAAAGGGGGAGAAAGAUGUUCCAUACAGAACAAAAAUAAGGAUGACAUCAGAUUUCUCACUGGAAACAAUCCAAGCAAGAAGACAGUGGAGCAAAAUUUUAGAAGUAGUCAAUCUAAAAUUCUAUAUCCACUGAAAAUAUCUUUCAAAAAGGAAGGCAAAAUAAAAGUCUUUUCAGACACACAAAAUCUGAAAGAAUUCCUCACCAGCAGACCCACACUUCAAAAAGUGUUAAAGAGAGUCUGUUAGGCAGAAGGAAAAUCUGGAUCUGCCCAUAGGAAUGAAGAGCGCCGGAAGCCAACACAGAACUUUCAAAGGUUUUUCUUAUAUUAUUUGAACCUCUCUAAAAGACAAUCGGUUUAAAAACAACAAUAUAUCAUGGGGUUUACAAUAUGUAAAAGUGAAAUGCAGGACAAGAAGAGUACAAAGGCCAGGAGGGGCAGGGUGGGAGGGCGGGGGUUUGAAGGGUGGCAAAAUCCCUCUGAGGCAGAUUGGGACAAGUUAAAGACAAAUUGGAUCAGCCCCUAAAGCAACCACUACACUGGCAAAGACAGAAUUAUACAGAAUAAACCAGCAAUGGAAAUAAAAAAAGAUCACAGAAAAAUACUCAAUCCUAGAGAAGGUAGAAAAAGAGGAAAAAGGGAACAAAAAACAGAUUAGACAAAUAGAAACAAAUACCAAGAUGAAAAAACUCAAAUCUAGCCACAUCACAUGCAAUGAAAAUGAUCUAAAUCCUCCAAUUUUAAUGCUGAUUGCCAGAAUGGAUUAAAAAAUCAAGACCCAACCAUAUGCUGCCUGUGAUAAAUACACUUUAAAAAGGAAGCACACACAAACAGGUUAAAAGUAAAAAAUGGGAAGGAACAAGUCCAAAAACAGAUCUCACACCAAAUAGUAUUACCAGAGGUAAAGAAGAUCACUUCAUUUUUUAAAAGAUUUUUAUUUAUUUUGAGAGAAAGGGAGGGGUCAGGGAGGGGCAGAGGCAGAGAGAGGGAUCACAAAUAGACUCCUUGCUGAGUGCAGACCCCAGCUUGGGGCUCGACCUCGCCACCCUGAGCCCAUGCCCGGAGCUGAAAUCAAGUGGGAUGCUCACCCAGCUGCACCACCACGCCUUGAAGGUCACGUCACUCUGAUGAAGGAAUCAACAAAUCAAGAGGACAUAGUGGUCCUAUGUUUGUGCAUCUAAUACUUCAAAAUGUAUAGAGCAAAAACUGAUAGAAGUCCCAGGAGAAAUAGAUAAAUCCAUAAUUUUCGCUAUGAUUCUCCCGGUCGCUGGCAGAGCAAGGCGGGAAUUUAGCAGGUGCCUCGCAGACUCCGACCAGAUGCUGCCCCGCAGCCGUGGAGCGCACGGUUCACCAAGACAGACCGUGGAGACAGCCCCCCUGUUUGAAGGGCUUGAAACCACACCAAGUGCUUCUCCAGCCGUAAUGCAAUUCAGUUAGAAUUCAACAACAGAGAUCUCUGGGACGACUCCACGUAUUUGAAAACUAAAGAACCCACAGAACAAGGAAGAAACCAAAAUGGAAACCACUAGCUGUUCUGAACGGGAUGGAAGUGAAAACACAACGUUCACGCUUGAACACAUCCCACUUGGCCAUGGGACGGUAUUAUGUCAACGUGCUGCUGUAGUUUCUUCCCUAGUGUGAUACUCACUGGAACUGCACUGAUAUUUAUAAGUAGUGUUUGUUUGUAAAUUUUCUUCUUUUGAUACCAUCUUUUCAGAACUGUGUCUCAACAUCCUACUUGUUUCAUGAAAGACACUUCAAAGUCCUUCACGUCCCAUGCUCUGGAACAAGUUGAAGAUUUGGUAGAAUUCUUCUUUGGGAACAAUGGGGCCGCGUGAUUUUGAGUGGGCUCGUUCCUCAGUAACUUUAUUUUGUUGUUCAGAAGCUAUUCUGCUCAAGCUGUCUCUCUCCAGUGGGGUCAGUCAUGUUAAGCUAUUGUUUCUCAGGAAAUUAUCCAUGUCAUCUGGAUUUUACAUUUAAUUAAAAGUAGUCUUCUGUUUAACAAAAUAUUCAUUGGAUUCAAUUCAAUUUAUUUCUCCCUUCUCAUUUCUGAUUUAAUAUGUUUUUAUUUUCUCUCUCUUUUUCUUGA